GAUGAACGCUGGCGGCGUGCCUAAUACAUGCAAGUCGAACGCACAGCGAAAGGUGCUUGCACCUUUCAAGUGAGUGGCGAACGGGUGAGUAACACGUGGAUAACCUACCUCAAGGUUGGGGAUAACAUUUGGAAACAGAUGCUAAUACCGAAUAAAACUUCGUAUCGUAUGAUACAAGGUUAAAAGGCGCUACGGCGUCACCUAGAGAUGGAUCCGCGGUGCAUUAGUUAGUUGGUGGGUAAAGGCUACCAAGACAAUGAUGCAUAGCCGAGUUGAGAGACUGAUCGGCCACAUUGGGACUGAGACACGGCCCAAACUCCUACGGGAGGCUGCAGUAGGGAAUCUUCCACAAUGGGCGAAAGCCUGAUGGAGCAACGCCGCGUGUGUGAUGAAGGC
rnacentral:rRNA from 1 species